GUGGGUAUAGCUCAGUGGUAGAGCACAUUCAUGGCAUGCAUGAGGUCCGGGGUUUGAUCCCCAGUACCUCUA
rnacentral:tRNA from 1 species